CGCUAAUUAAAAUAAUACAGCCCCAAAGCUCCGCUUCUAAGCCAGGUAAUUUGCUUAGAAAAUUAAGGCUCUGGGUUUAAAUGUUAUAGAAGAAUGGCAUUUUUUUAGAACAGGAAGAAGACUUAGCAAGCACCCGGCCAGACACUCACAUGUUUUUAGAGGAGGAAAUACUUAAGUUCAGGAAUUCCCUGGAACUCCAGGCACCAGCCAGGAGAGAGGGGCCGGAUCUGUCCUCCAGCUUUUGGAGCUGCAGUCGAGCAGACAAGUGUGCAUCUGUCCCUACAAAGACAUAUGCAGCAUAAAGAGGUGAACCAUAUUAAACAACAAUCAAAAAGAUGGUGGGAACCCUCAAAGAAAAACAAAGGAGAAGAAAAUAGGAGAAGAAAAUAUUCUUUGAGACAACUCAGGAUACUACAGUAAACAAAUGUAGAGCUCAGUGAAUUGUCAUAAAGCCAAUGCAUUUGCAACAGCUACUAGGUCCGUGUAUUCAACUGUACCUGCUACCCAGAAGCCUCUCUCUGUGUCCAUAUCCCAACCACAUGCCUUUUCUCCCUUCAAAGCAACCAGUACCUUCUUUUAUACAAAUCGCUUUCUUGCCUUUUUA
rnacentral:lncRNA from 1 species